ensembl:lncRNA novel transcript
ACAAUAGGUGGAGAUUCCUCCACAAUAGGUAGAGGUCACCAGCAUAGGUCAGAGGGGAUAUUGUAUGUAACUGGUGACAUUUGAAAGAGACAUAUUGGACAGAAAUGACAUACGUGAAAGCUAAGAUACAAUAUAUUUAAUUUUCUAAGAAUUCAGUUCAAGGUAGUCUGCCUGGUUUCUCAAGUUCUGCAUGUUUCUUCAGUAGACUAAAUAAUGAUAAGGAAGCUGAGAUGUAGAGCUGAAGUGUCUUGCCCAAGAUCAUUUGUCUACCAAGAAGGGAUUCCGAAGAUAGAAGAGGAGGCAUCAACACCGUGAACAUCAUGGCUGAGUUAUUUUGUGAGAGGGAUAAGCCUAAAGUAAAAACCUUGGAUUUGCCUCUGUCCUUGAACAUGCUAUCUGGAAAGAGUUUUCUUAAAAGUAUUGUUGUGAACACAUCCAUUUUCCCAGUAUAGUUGAAUGCAGGGUUUAAUAAAUGGAAUGAAUCU